rnacentral:lncRNA from 1 species
UCGUCUUCAUCGUCUCCUUUUCGGCUACUAGAAACCAAUAAACGAUCUCGAUAGGUUUUCAAGGAAUAUAGAUUCAUAUUAGACAACUUAGAGAUAAUUUUCUGUUUGUUUUUGUUAAUAUCUUUUAUGUGUUUAUCUGUUAUUGAUUUCUUUGAAAGAAGAGAAAUGGAAAUAAGCCAAUUUGCAGAGCAAGGGCGCCUAUGAAAUGUGACGAAACUUGCAUUGAAGGUUGGCAAAAUCAAAACAAUUUCUGCGAUUCUCCGUGCCUAUCGAAUCUCUUGAUUUUGAAUACGGCCUCGAACAAAUCGCUACAUUUUUUUCUUCCAUCAUGCGAUCUUUUUCGACUUAUAAUCACCAUAGAUUAUCCUUUGUGUAUUAGUUCUAUAUUUUUCGUCGAUAUGAUCAAAUUUUAAACUUCUGUCGAGCUACUCAGGGCAUUUACUUAAUUAGACCAUAAAAAGCCAAUUUGCAGAGCAAGGACGCCUAUGAAAUGUGACGAAACUUGCAUUGAAGGUUGGCAAAAUCAAAAUAAUUUCUGCGAUUCUCCGUGCCUAUCAAAUCUCUUGAUUUUGAAUACGGCCUCGAACAAAUCGCUACAUUUUUUCUUCCCUUUUCGUGUUUUUGUUCAAAAAUUUCUUUUUAUUAUGUGAUCUUUUUCGACUUUUUGAUCACAAUAGGAUAUCCUCAGUGUAUUAGCUCUAUGUUCUUCGUGGCUAUGGUCAAAAUUUCAAUUUGUGUCGAGUUACUAAAGGCAUUUACAUCAUUAGAACAGAAUAUAAUUUAUUAGAGCAGAAAAAGCCAAUUUGCAGAGCAAGGACGCCUAUGAAAUGUGACGAAACUUGCAUUGAAGGUUGGCAACAUCAAAAAAAUCUAGCGAUUCUCCGUGCCUAUCAAAGUCUUUCAGUUUUGAAUAUGGCCUCGAACAAAUCGCAACAUCUCUUUUAGGUUUUUGUGCUCUCGUUUUUUGCCGAUAAUUUGAAUCUUUUGAGGUUAAGGAUCCUUCGCAGAAGCUUCUUGAUUAAGCCUUAUUGACAUUGAUAGAUUUAUAGUUAAUCUAAUGUCAAGAAUAUCUAAAGAAAAUUUUGAUUGGCGUUGCAAAUUAUCAUAAGAACUUCAAUGUUUAACAUUUUAUACAACGAAAUUUUAGGAAAAACAGUUCGGAUAAGGCUAGAUUUACACAAGUAUAUACUAAAGUCUCUAAUUAACUAUUCUUAGUAUUCUAUCUAAAAAAUUGGUAACAAUGUUAUUGAACCAGUUUUUCAAACAACACAACUUGAAAUCAACAACUUGCCAAAAUGAAAGUUUGAUUUGCGCUGAUGUGGGAAGUUGUGACCAUGUAGUUAAAAUAAAAAGGCAGUAAAAGUUUUAAUUGGUGCUCAAGUGAAAGAUUUCGAAAUGCUCACGUAAAUCAUUAAAAUACAAAAUAUUGCUUCUAGUACUCUGAUGUGUACUGGCACUGACGCAGCUUACCACGGCGAGAUCUCUUGUGCUGCCAUCAUCUUCUUAAAUAACCAUUAGUGGUAUGGCUGCCACGUUUCAGUUAUCAUACUGGCUCAUAAAAAGAAGAGUGAUCAACAAAGAAACGUUGGAAACCAAUUUUGUUGGAAAAUAGUCUUUCUAAGCUUUCAACGAAGCAACGACAUUAAAGAAAUGUAGUAGAUUGGAUGAUAUCACACAGGUGGAGGGAGGCUGCUGCUUCAUGUUGAAGUUCUGUCAUUUUGGGCUUUCCAUAUGCACCAAAGUGAUACAUAAUAUAUUUUGAGAAGCAAUUUUUUUUUUAGGGUAAUCAAACUAGUUGUUGGCAUAAUCUAAGAUGUCCUAUGCCGUUCGGAAAUUAGAUAUUGGAACCCCGCACCAUUUCAAAAUGCAAUCUAAUACCAAACGGGCAUACUCACAUCUAACUAAUGCAUGAUCGGCACUUUCCUACAUGGUCCCACAAUGGCUGCAUAAAUUAGUUUCAAAGGCUGCAAGAGAUUUUACUCAUUCUUGCUCGCCAAGUAAAGCAAAUCACCUUAAUUGGAACUUCUUUUAGCCAAGUAAACUUACCAUUAGCGCUCGGCGGACUGAAAUCCCAAAGUUUCCUUAGAGCCUUGACAAUGGAAGAUCCAUCCGAGGUGAGACUGCAGUGCUAGUAGUCUCUAAUUGGGUCUUGCUUUUUUGUUAGGACUUGUUCAACUGGAAUAUACUUCUUUACCAAAUCUUUUCUAAUGCCCGCAAUGUUAUUCCAUAUGCCGGGUACAGUGUUACUUGCAUUCAACGGGAUCAGAUGAGAGCUAAAAUAGCUGCCCCGAAAUAAAUAAAUUACUGCGCCAGCCUUUGUGUACUUACAUCCCCUCCAUUUUGAUAAAAAUUUAUUUUUUGUAACUUAAAAGGUUAAAAUCUAGUUUUUAAAAAACUAAAAAAGUUAAAAACCCUGUUUAGUUUGGGUUGAGGAGGUCCUGUUUUUUGGUAUAGGCCAAGAUAUCCGGUGCAAGCAUGCUGUAAGGUGUGGGCACCGAGGCUCGAGAGAAACAGUGUGGUAUGCCAACAAAACUUUGGUAUUUUAACCCGAUGGCUGAUUGGAUCUGUGAUAUAUUGACAUUUUUACCUGGGAUAUUCCAUCCUGAAGAUGAUUGGACUUAACGGUUGAUUGGGUCCUAGGUAUUCUAACCCAAUGGUUGAUUGGACCUGACAUGUUUGGCUGUAUAUAUUAUCUAUUUGUGUGGUGGUAACGGGGGCCUUGCGGGAGUACGAAAUGAAAAUUCCUACUCAUGCCUUAGGUCUCGAAAAUAAAACAAGGUUUAAUCUGACUCUUGCUCUCGUAAUUUUGAAAAAGUUAUACCAUUUUCUGGAGUCGAUUCCUACAGAAACAAGGUCCCACAAAAAUAAUUGACAUCCCCAGGUCUUUCGUGUUAAAACCAUAUUAGUAUAUGAUUGCUGUCUUGUUGUGACUAAAAAAUGAUAAAAAUGGACAGUAAAUGCCUCAUACAUCCUUACAUUUGUAAGUUUUUAUCGGAUUUACUAAAAGUUGUAUUUUACGUCAAUUAUAACCUCAAAUUUAUAGAAUUUUUUUUAUAAACUUGCUCUUUUUGUAAAUUUAUCCAGUAAAAUUGAUUUUCUUGCAAAACCUAAGGGUUGUAAUUAAAUAAAAAACAAAUUUAAAGGCUUUUAUGAACCAAAAAAGGGUAAAAUGAAUAUUUAGUCCACAUGUAAAUAAUUUAAUUGAUCCGAGGGUAAAAUUGAAAUAAAAAGGUACAAACAUUCGGUUUUAAUGAACCUAAAACCUGCAAAAGUAUAAAAUCGACAAAAACUUGCA